rnacentral:ncRNA from 1 species
GACUCCAUCAAAAAACCAUUAGACUUAAUAAAUGAAUUCGCUGCCCAGAGCUCUGAAUGUCAAAGUGAAGAUAUUCAAUGAAGCACGGGUAAACAGUGGGAGUAACUAUGACUCUCUUAAGGUAGCCAAAUGCCUCAUCAUCUAAUUAGUGACGCACAUGAAUGGAUGAACGAGAUUC